rnacentral:piRNA from 1 species
UAGCUGCUAUGUGUUGGAAGAAAGCCC